UCCCUCCUCUCUCUCUCUCUCUCUCUCUCUUCAUCUCUCUUCGUUGUGUCGAAUCGGUGGCCGAUACUCUCGAUCGAUAACCCGGUGAUCCACGAGAAUUAAUCGACGAGAAUUGGCGCGAACGACUUUCUCCAUCCUCAUCGGUGAAAUCGGUGCAAACGGGAGAAACGGCAUUAUCGUCGGGAAGGUGCAGUAUUUCACGGCGACUCCCUAUCAACCAGAUGGUUUCUGGCAGUGAUGCCCUCAUCGGAGGAGGAAAGCCAGUGGCUCGUUGGCAGCGGGGGCGGUCUCGCACCCUCCGGCGGCAGCGCGACGAAAACAGGGGCUGGCGAGCGUGGGGCGAGCACUAGGUCCGGUCUCUACACCGAGGAGAUGACGACGCAGCCGGCGAGCGUCGCCACCGCCGGCGUCAACUCGGCCUCGGCCGACUCCGCGGAGCACGAUCUCAUCGACUCCACCGCGGACGCGACUCUUCUGGCGCAGUUUCACGAGGACGCCAUCAAACAGGCUGGUGUCGGCUAUUUCCAAAUAUUUGCGGCUUUCUGCACAGGUUUGAGUUUGGCGGCCGACACUGUUGAGUUUUUCGUUGUACCUUAUAUACUGCCAAGUGCAGAAGUUGAGCUUUGCAUCGAAGACAAUGAAAAAGGAUGGCUCGGAAAUAUUACCCUUGUCGGUCUUGCACUGGGUGGAUUAUUUUGGGGUGGUCUCGGUGACAGAUUGGGAAGACGCAGAGCCCUUCUCUCAGCCAUGUCUGUGCAUGCUCUGUUCAGUGGCGUUGCAACGUUUAUGCCCACUUAUGGCACUUUUAUGACGGCUAGAUUUUGCUCAGCUCUUGGAGUGGGAGGAGCUGUACCACUGGCAUUUGUAUAUCUCGCGGAAUGCUGUCCACAAUUAAGUAGAGGUCGUUGGACGGGUAUACUAAUGGCAGCGUGUGCACUCGGUGGCGUCUACGCAGCACUCUUAGCCUGGGCAGUGGUACCUACGACGGGAGAAAUGGUUGUCUUAGAAAAUAAGGAACACUUUAGCGCUUGGCAUCGUUUCUUGUUAUUAUGUUGUCUGCCGGCGUUGUGCUCCACGAUUGGUCUUAUCUUCUUACCGGAAAGUCCAAGGUAUCUCAUAGAGGCUGGUCGAGAUGUAGAGGCAAUGAUGGUUUAUCAGAGGAUAUAUAAGAAUAACGCCCGAAAAGGUGCAACAGGUGCUCAAUAUCAGCUCUCUGAACUUGAACUUCCCACUAAAAGACCUCGCGGCUUGGCGCCGCCAUCUCCUAGUAAUCACACUAGUGUUUUGGCAGACAUAAUAUAUUCGAUCGAAAUGUUCUGGAAUUCUUUUCUCGAAUUAUUUGCAACGCCUCAUUUACGCGUGACUUUAAUCCUGUUAAUUAUAUGGACCGCUGCUUCAUUUAGUCUUUACGGUCUUAUGAUAUGGUGUCCCGAAUAUCUGAAGCUUUUGCGAGCAAAAGAAUAUGAAGCUGUCACUGAACACUUUUACACAGAAGAUCACAAUGGUACAACAUUUACUGGUUCUUGGGAAAAUCGUCAGUAUAAAAACUGUACAUUUUCGAACUGCAGAUUUACUAAAAUGGUAUUCAGUCACGUUGAUUUUGACAAUUGUACCUUCCAAUCGGUAGAAUUUAGUAGUAUUAAGUCUAGCAAAACCCAUUUUAGAGACAGUAUUAUUGUAUAUUCGAAAUUUGUUGACACAGAUUUAUCUGCACAAGUUUUCACCAGAUGUAAAUUGGAGAAUAACACAGAGCUGAGUUUAAGUGGGCCCUGUCCGACUCUUGAUUUGGAUUAUAACAUUUAUAUUGAAGAGGCAUUGCAUGCUCACCUUGUUGCUCAAUUGGCUUUUGUGCCUGCUGCCGCACUAGCGGGAUUGGCGCUUACCGUUCUCCAACGGCCAAAAUUAAUUGAUCUCUCGCUUUUCCUCUCUUCUGUUACUGCAUUAUCCCUGAUAUUCAUUCGUCAAAACAGUUCGGCAAUUCUUGGUUUCGAAGGUGGCUUUACAGCUCUUUUCGCUAUUGGGUGGACAUCAUUAACUUUGGUGACAGUCGAGAGCUUCCCUACACACUUAAGGUGCACCGGUUUUGGGCUUAUAGCAGCGGCUAUAAGAACAUCAGGUCUGAUAGGAACCACAACAUAUCAGACAUUAGUGGGUGCGCCGUUAAUUGCGCCUGCACUGUUGACUGCACUGGCAUUAUUGAUCGCCAGCAUUAUAACUUUAAAAUUGCCUCAUACUCAUACUGUCUUCUUGUAAACUUUUCAUCGGUAGAAAAAAGUAUUAGCAACACGUAUCUGAAGAUAAAAAUUUAUAGUUACAUACGAAAACUGUAUAGUACUUUGUUGUCUGACGAUUGAAUUCUCAAAAAGAAUAAUCUCAAAUGUGAGAUAAAAGAGGAAAUAUGCUAUCAUUUAAUUCUUUAUUCUUAGGAUUAUUCGAUAAAAAAAAUGAUGUUCAAGACAUGUCAAUAAUUUAUUGAUCAAAAAGAGAAAAUUUUUUAGAAAAUGAGACUUUGUACAAAGUGACAUAUCUUAAGUAAUAACGAAGAAUGUGGCGAAUAACGCUAUAUGCGAAUGAUGCUAAUAUUUGAACGAAGCAAAAUGAAAGAUUUCAAGAUUGGCUGACACAGAUGUUUUUAUGCGCAAAGUUAUUCUGAAAUUAAUAUAAUUACUCUACUAUCUUAUCUUUGAUGAUAUAUUUACCGUUGUGCAAGUAUUAAGCAAAGGACACACACACACACACACACAUAUGUGCAACUAUUUUAAUAAGGCUUACGCCAUGAAACGUGUCAAUUUUAAUGAGGAUGUGCAAUCAUCCGUAAUGAUAUAUGAUAUAUAUUAAGAAACAUUAAUUAGAGAUAUAUCAGUAACGCAAUUUGAUAUCUCAAUUAUUAUUCCAGAGAGACAUCACGCUUAUAGAAUAGCUGUUCUUUUGAUCUAUGGAUUAAAUAAUACCGAUACAUAAUGUGAAACUUGAAUAUAACUUUGAAUAUAGUUUGCGGAAGAUACAUAUUCAUUCAAAUUUGAUCACACCAGAAACUAUAGUAAUAAAUAUUUAUUACAUACAAAUAAAUUAUAAUAAUAUAACAAUUUUAUAUGUUUUGGUGAGAAGAGAAAUGACAAGUUGGUUUCACGUGCGGAAAACAUUCCCCUAUGAAGGAAAAGUAAUGGUAUAGUCAGAGUACUUCCGCUUUUUGCCGAUUUAUUAACAUGUACUACAUCUGCUAAUUAGACGCUAGAAGGCUGUUAAUUCAACAAAUAAAAAGUCGGGCAAGAUUCAUAUAACAUAAACGCUGCCGUGUGAAAUCUCGAUUCCUAAAUAAAGACUUUUGAACGAGAAAAAAGAUAUGGAAGAUAUUCAGCUUUGCAACAUAAAAACUCUAGAGAUUAUCAUUUUUAACGUUAAUCGUCUUCAAGCUUACGAUAAAUUACAUGUAUAAACAUGUGUGCGUCUAACUUUCUAUAUAGUGACAUGUAUAUUAAAAUGUAGAACAUUAUUUUCUACAAGAGUUCACAUGUCUUGACGUAAACAUAUGUAAAGUGUAAUAUCACUAUAAUCUACUUGAGAAAACUUUGCUAAAGUUUUAUCAUUGUUGGCAACAAACAAUGAAUGACAUCGUCAAACUGGAAUGAAUGUAAAAAGAGUUCCUUGAGGAAGAAAGAGAGGCAAUUUAUCUUUAGGCAAUAAGAAUGUAAAAGAGUGCAAUAAGAAGUAUGUAAGAGAGGGACGAGGAUCAUCGGAAUUUAAAAGUUACACUUUACGAACGUUUUCGGGCAUUUUAUCAAGUUGGAGAAGAUGUCGACAGAGAAAUGAACUUAAUAGAAUAAAUGUUUAUGCGUUC
rnacentral:misc_RNA from 1 species